UUUUAUUAAAAAAAAUGAAACGCUUACGAAAAAAACCCUACCGUCACUUUCUCCUCCAACUCUCUCCUCCGACCUACGCAUUUUGCUUCAACUCAUCAAUUCAAGCAUCGACUAAUUCACAUCAAUUCAAACAUCGAUUAUCUUCAUUAAAACCUAUCUCAAAUUACGUGUUCCAUUUCAAAAUAGAAAAAUAGAUCUGCUCCGAUUUCGUCGAUUCGGUUCAUCUCCGCCAUUAUCUCUCCUAUUUCGAUGGUGAUCUUAAUUUUAGGUCCGAUUUACCCUAUUCUGUUUCUGGGUUCGAUGUUCCGAUUGGUGAAAAAAUCCAACCAAAUUUAGCUUCAUGAAUUCAUCCCAACAUUUUUGAUGUGUGUGGCGUGAAAAAAUCCGAUUAUCAAAGUUUAUUUGGAUCUUUCCUGGGGAUUUGCUUUGAAGUGAAAGAAAAUAAAAGACAGCUCCAUUAAUGUUUAACAGAAAUUAAGUGUUGUUGCAUUGAUCAAAGUGGAAUUCUUGCCAUUUUUCUAUUCUAUUUUGGUGUUCUGGGAAUUUGCAAGAGGUUACAAUUGAUUUGGGUUGCAGCAUUUUCAGAUGGAGGAACACCCAAUGAAUCCUUACAAUCUAAGUUGCACCUACGAAGAACCCUUGGUUGAAUAUUUAACCAUACUAAUAAAAAAAUGCAACUUUUGGGGAAUAGUUAUUAUUGAAGGAAAUAACAAUUUCACUACUGGACCAAGAAGAGUUAUCUUUCAUAUGUAUGAAAUGGAAAACUAAUACCUUUUUCUUUGCAGAUUAAAAGGAAAAGAAUAAGAGUCUUUAACAACAUGGCCAAGGAAUAGGCUCUUGGAUGUGGAAUGUUGGACAUCAAUAACACAAGGAUAAAAUGUUUUUGUUUCUUAUAUUAGGUGUUGUAAACACAUUGGACAUAUUACUUUUUAGAUUGUAACUAAUUCAUUUGAUUUUAUCAAUUAGUUUGGUAUAACUUUAAAAUAAUGUAAUUCUAAAACUUUAUUUAUGUAUUGUACAAAGGAUUUAGCUUCAAAGGAUUAGACAUAAUAAAGACUCUUGUAAAUUCUACACAUUAUUAUUAAAUAAAAUUAAUUUUUAAAACAAAUUGUUCUUUCUAUAAGUUUUAUUUUUAUAAUUUUCUUCUCCUACAGUCAAAUACAACAACUUUUGUGAUAAAUAUACUGUCAACUUAAGUAAUUCAAAAUUAUACUUUAAUAUAUUUUUGUUGUUCAAACUACAAAACAAUAAGGAGUUCCGUGCAUCGCACGGGCUACAAACUAGUUAUAUUAUUAUUUCUUUCAGAUCAUCUUUUUACUACAAUAAAUAAUUCAACCACUACCACACUUUCAUCUUAUUUUAAUAAAUUCAACUCACUCUCCUAAAACUAUGUGCGAGUCAAGGUGUAUUUUUUCAUAAAAUACAGAGGGAUCGGAGUAACUAAAACAACCAUAUCUAUCUAUCUAUACUAAUAUAUGAAAUGGCGUUGAGAAAAAUGUCUAUAUGCAACGUAUUACUAUUUCCUUUGCGCCACAUCAUUCACUCACCAAAUAAUAUGUCAUAUCAUGGACAACCAAAAAUCAAUACAUAUUGUGAGGUUUGAAUUCUAGACCUCAAGUGUGGAUGAUAACUCUCAUUGUUAGGUUAUGAAAAAUAUAAAACAUAUAUUUCAUGCAGAAAAACCUUAAAGCCAGGAAUCCAAAUUAAUUGCCACAUAACCAAUUAGCAUAAUUUAGGAUACAUACAUGUGUAGCGUGCCUGGCCUAGCUGCUCCCGAACCGAACAAGAACAAGUUUAGGACUCCAAGUGUAGUCCCUCUGUAGAUAGUCCACGGCACGUUCGGAUCCGCCUUAGAUUCAAUUAACUAGAAUUUAGCCUAUGGUUUUAUGUUAUUCGUACUUCAUUAUUUGGCAAAUUAUUAAGCUUAGUUUUUUAACUUAAAACUAUAUAAAUACUUUGAAUUGAUGUGUAUAAAUUGUGAUUUCCAUCACCUAUUUAUAGGGUAGGAGUAUCGGAACUAGAAACCUACUAGGAUUCAAUUUAUCUAAUUCAAUUAGAAUUAGACUUAAAUUAAAUCUAUUAAUUUUAGUGUUUAGCUUAACAACUAAUUCUAGUAGUUUCAGGAAAAUAGUCUAAUCGGAUAAAUCCUAACUGCCUAAGGAUUCGAAACAUGCACGAACACAACAACACGCACGAACAGCCCGCUGGUAUGCAGCCCACGAAGGGCGCGCCAUCUUGUUGGCCUUGCCUUGCUUGCUGGGCCUGGCCUUGCUUCAUUGCUCGGCUGGGCCUUGCUUGCUUGGCGGGCUGUUGCUCGCCUGCUGUGCUUGCGCGGGCUUCGCUAGGCGCGGGGGAUUCGCCAGGCGCGGGUCUAGCUUCAUGCUGGGCUUUGCGUCUAGCAAGCUCGUCUGAUGUUUAUUUCGUACGUCGCGCUUCCGAUUUAUUUUCCGAUUCCGGAAUUCAUUUCCAAUUCAAAAAAUAUUUAAUAUUUCUGAUUCCGGAAUUAAUUUCCGUUUCGAAAAAAUAUUUAAUAUUUCCGAUUCAGGAAUUUAUUUCCGAUUCCGAUAAUAUUUCCGAUUCCGAUGAUAUUUCCGUUUCCGACAAUAUUUCCGAUUCCGGCAAUAUUUUCAUUUCCGACACGUACCAUGUUUCCGUUUCCGGCAACAUCUACGACUUGGAUAAUAUUUUAUAUUUCCGAUACGAUCCAUAUUUCCGUUUCCGGCAAUAUCAUCGUUUCCGGAGUAUUCAUAUUUGCCCUUUUGACGAUUUCAGCUCCCACUGGAACCGAGAUCCGUCCAUUCCGAAUAUCCAUAAAUGGAGUAUUUAGUUCACUUAAAUACUUGAUCCGUUCACGUACUAUUUGUGUGACCCUACGGGUUCAGUCAAGAGUAAGUUGUGGAUUAAUAUUAUUAAUUCCACUUGAACUGAAGCGACCUCUAGCUAGGCACCCAGUUCCCUUGAUCUCACUGAAUUAUUAACUUGCAUAAUUAAUUAAUACUGAACCGCAUUUAUUAGACUUAACAUUGAAUGCAUACUUGGACCAAGGGUAUUAUUUCCUUCAGUCUCCCACUUGUCCUUAGGGACAAGUGUGCAUUGCCUAAUUCCUUUGUCGCUUGAUGCUUUCUCAUGAACAUAAGGUAAGAGUUGUCAUCCUUAUUAUGUCAGAGGUAUUUCUCGGUUUCAGAGUUCAACUGAUCAAAUAAACAGAUAAUCAUAGCCUAUGAUUCAUCUGAGCACGGCCAUGCAUUUUACAGUUUCUAGCUCUCCGAGUGGCCUUGUACAACUUUCAGCAUCUCAUCUUGAUUUAUGGGAGGACAAUCCCAAUCUUGUGAUCUUGAUAUUAGACUUCUUUUGAUAGGUGAUUACUCGAGCGUUGCUGUUAUAGCCUCCUUUUACGGUGCGACGGUUGACAACGUCAAAGUAACCAGUCGAGUUGUAAUCGAGUUGUUUUAACCUUAAAGGAUUGUAGACCUAAUCAAGAGUUUAUGACUAAAAGCUCCCACUUAAACCAAUAAAUUUACAUGCUUUACUAAUUUUAAACAUAAAAUUGUAUUUCCUAGUCUAACCGGAAACAUACAAAUUUAAUUAAAAUUUAAAGCUCAUAUAAAUUAUUAUUUGAAUCCUUUUAUUUAUUUUCAGUUGAAUUAAAUAAAUAAAUUUAAAUUUAUUCAAGGUUUUAAUUUUAAUACAAUAAUUAGUAUAAAUAAAAUUUAUAAUAAUUAGAUUAUUCAAAAUUAAAUUCCGAGAAAAAAUUAAAUUACGAAUUUUAAAAAUAAAUAAAAUCGUUUCCGAACUGAAAGUUUAAAAUUAAAUUCAAAGCGCAUCAAUCGGAUCAGACGAGGCCAUGGGCUUGCGCCUAUGCACGUCGAGUGCACGAGGUAGCAAUGCCCCUGAAAUGAUCGCAUGGCAAUGCAUGAGCAGGCCACACGCAAACGCAGCCAGCCCAACCAUGCAUGCUCGCAGCCCGCUUCACUAAUACAAAAGUGACCUUAUGUAACAUAAAAUGGUAACACUUUUAAAGUUGCAAAAUUAUUCGAUAUAUACGUAACACUUUAGUAACACUUUCAUAUUAGGUAGCACUUGUUUGUAACACUUGAUAGGGAAGUGAUAAAUCCAAGGAAGAAUUUCACUUCUUCCAAGGAAAUCAACUAUGAAAAAAUGUGGAUUUCCUUGGCAGAAGUAAAAUUUUCCUUGGAUUUAUCAUUUCCCCACUUGAUAUUAGGUAACACUAAUUUGUAACACUUUGAUAUAAGAUAACAUUUGGUGGUAACACUUUAAAAUUUCAAUUCUAGCUUAAGCGCUAAUCCUGAAAUUUACCAAUUCAUCGAAAAAGUCAAAUUGCCGGCAAAGAAAAAAAAUUAGAAUUUGAGCAAAAAUGAAUUAGGAAUUCGCCGACAAUAAGAAAACGAAAAAAAAGGUCAAUUUCUCAAAAGUUUCCUCUCCCCAGCCACGAUAGUCUCUUAGGUUUAAACCAGUUCCAUCUCGCGCAAUUUCAUCACAAAAUCAGUCGUCGUCUCGAUCGGGAUUUUGGGUUUCAUCGAAUUCGUGCUUCGAAUUUCAGGUAUUUCCUGAUUUAUGGUGGAUGUUUUUUAUUUAUUUGGUUAUUUAAUCAUUAAAUUUCCAAUAAUCUAUGAAGUAUUACAAUCUAGAUUAUAGCCUUUAAUAUUUUGAUUGGGUUCUGAACGGGAUAUUGGCUUUGCGUUUGAAAUAGUUUUUUUUUUUUUUUUGAUUUCUUGAUUCAGUAUUUCGAGUUUGGUUUGUUGAUUCUGAAUUUUCUUGUGUGUUAUUGGUUUUUGGUGGUGAUAAAGUUUUUGGUAUUUCGAGUUUGCAUUGAGUGAUGGAUAUUGAAUGUUUUCCCAAAUGAAAAAUUAAAAUCUUAGAAGAACAAUUGACAUGACUCAUGAAGUUUUCUUUUUAUAUUUUUUUUUAUAUAUCAGAGUGAUAAAUGGAAUUACAAAUUAAUAAUAGGAAGCUGUUGUGUUCUGUAAUAUCCUGUGAACUUAUGACUUUACUGAACAUAUUGACGAGGCAAUUUCUUAAUACAACACCCUUUAUAAAGUAGCAACUUGGAGUAGAAUUUGUUUAAAACACAAAGUAUCUCCAUCGGAAAAUUAUUGUAAUGCAGAGAAGUUCUGACCAAAUUGCAGAAUCUGAUAUUAAUCCUCGCGUGAGUAGAAUUCUUGUUUUACCCAAAAUAUCCCGUGUUGUACAUGCAAAACCUGAACAAGUUUUCUGACAAAAAAUGUUGAAUCGGUUUAUGUGUUAUCAGUGUUUGCAGAUUUUACAUUAGAUAGUAAUAUGUUGUCAUCAGUGUUUCUGUAUCAUUUUUUUUAUUAUGUGUAUACUUUUUUCCCUUGCACAGCUGAAAAUGAUAUGAAGUGAAAGUAAAACAACACAUCAGAAGAUGAGCCACUCUUACAUAAUCACUUUUACAUAAUCUGGAAAACAGUUUAGAUGAACUCUUAAUAACAGUUCUCUGUGAUAAAUCAACAUUGUAUGAGAGUAAAUUACUUUAUUGCUUUACAAAAUUACGACAUUCUAUACUGCCAAUUAACAUGUGUUGCGAGACAAUUAAGUUAUAAGCAAAAGAAGAAACUAUAAGAAAGAAAGCGGAAUACACGAGUGGAACUUCUAAAGCAAAAGAGUUAUGUUAAUAAAGAUACAGGGAAAGGUUACUUCUUUCUGUGUUUAUGAGCUUGUACUUGUGCUGCAUCAUCUUGAACAAGCUCGACAAUCAAGUCUUUAAAUAUCAAUCGUUCGAUGUCUAGUACUAAGGCUGGUAUCUCAACGCUGGCGGCAGUCCAAGUUGCUGAUUUAUGUGUUAGAUCUUUCCCUAUGAUGGUUGUGAGAAAGUCCUCCUCAUCAUCUAAGUUGUGAGGCAAGUUGAUAGGUUAGACCUGGUCUAUUUCUUUAGAUAUCUCUUGCAGGAGCUGCAGGCCACCAGUUGCGAAUUCUGUCGGCUUUUUCAAGAGUGGGCUUGGUGGCUGAGAGAGUUUCUGAGAUAGUAUUUCAUUGACUGCAUCGAACAAGAGUCUUCUCCUAUGCCUUUCCAUGGUUCUUGUCAUUCUCUCAGCUUUACUGUUGGAUGUAUUAUCUGAAACAAAACUGCUUCUUAUGGUUUGCUCCAAUUCAAAGAAUAAGUUAGGGUUGAUUGCUUCUUAUGACUGGAGGGCAAGAUGAUCGGCCAUUGUGUAGUCCAGAUGAUCAAGGAAUCCCGAGGCUAAGAGUACUUCAGACACGUAUGAUUUUUCCACAUUCACGUAAAGAGGUGUGGUUUUACUUAAAUUUCCAUGCUGAUAAGAGUUCAACUUAGAGCAUGUACAUUGGGGCUCUUGGAGUGGUUCUCCAAGUAGCUCUCCAAGUAGCUCUCCAACAAGAACUAGCUCUUAGCCAACAUUGGGGCUCUUGAGGGGCUCUUGAGUAGCUCUUCAUGGAGAGCUACUUCAAGGUAGCUCUUGCUCAAGAGCCCUUCAAGAGUUGAUUCUUGUUGAAAAGUGGGGAGUAACUUUGAAAAUUGGAUAGUAACUUUGGUUAAAAACACAAUUAAUUGUGGACCACCAAAUGGUAAAAAUAAUAAUGGAGAGCUCGUUUGAGGAACCAACCAAUGUUGGGUGUUUUUAAGAAUGAAUUCUUGAUUGUGUCUUGUAGAGAGAUAGUGGUAGAGAGAGGGGAGAGUCCUCCAAGAGCUCUUUUGAAGAGCCAACCAAUGUACAUGCUCUUACAUAAGGAUGGAGCUGACUCUUUGAAGUUUUCUAGUUUCCGAUAAUCACUCUCAUAGUUAAAAUUUAGUCUGAACCUGUCUGGAGAAUGAUUAAGAUCGGUGUCGAUCCACUCUGCUUCAUUGUAUGUUGUAUUGGUCUCAAAAUCUGCAGAGAAGUUCAGAUAAUAACAUCGGAUCAAACAUUUCUUCCAAAUAGUUUUGCUUUAAUAUACCAUGCUCCAUUUAGCUAAGUCAUAGGUAGUAAAAGGUAAUGUAUCUCUCCCAUGCUAAGAAGGGAAGGAUGCGUACUACUUUGCUCAUUUUCAUGCUCCCUUUCUCCAUCCCCCAUUUAUAGACUUAUUCACACAACCUUAUGCUUUUCACUUUGGAAUCUUAAGUCUUGUACAGAGAAAAUAUUGCUUUGCAUCACUAUUUCUUAAUACUCAAAGUCAUUUUAAUGAAUUAUCUGUCGGAUGAGUACUACUUUUCUCAUUUUAAUGAAAUAUUUUUGGAUUGGCAUUUUAGAACGACGUAUAAAUCCCACUGAAGUGGUUUCCUAGCUCAUUAUUUGAGCCCCACUGACUCCAAAAGGACUAUUCCCUUUUGAAUAAUAGUGAAGCACUAGCUGUAAAACUUGGGUGUGGUCUUUUUAGUUUAAGUGGAAUAGGCCUGUUAUUGUGAAUGACUUUUUAAAAAAAAAAAUUAUAUAGCGUGUCCUGGUAGUAUUUUCUUUUGUUUUUAUGCUUCACACAAUCACACCUUUUACAGUAACAAAGUACAAGUAUUAGACUAUUAGUAGUAUACCAAAAUUGGGUUUCUACUCAUCUCAACAAUAUGCUUUAUGUUUAUUCACCAAUUAAGUAGGCAAAGGUCUCUAUUUGAACUGCAGACUGUCUAUGGCAGCAUCGACCUCCACCUGUACAGUCCCCUAUCAUAGGGGGAAAUUGAAAUCCAAUAUAGUCUUUUUUUAUGUGCUUGACAGGGGAGCCAUGGAUCGAAAACAAGAGUUUAAAUCAAUUUCCUCCGGAAAGUUUUUGUUUAUGCUUUGUGAUUGUCAUUAUUGUUCAGACAGAUGAAUUUCGAAACUCAAUAUGCUCUUUCUUGGCAGAUUUUCAAUCCUAAGCUUGUCUUGGCAACCCCAUAAACUGCUUCUGAUGCAGAUUAUGUUGCAAUUUUAGGUGUAAUUGGUAAUGAGGCAUGCUUUCAUUGGACUGCGUUAGCAAUUAUUAUCUUUGUCCCCAUCUUAGCUUGCACUGAUGAAUGUUUCUUUUGUCUUCACUAUUAUUUUAGUACUUCCACAACUGGACUGGAAAUAGGUAAGCUAUUUCUUUAUUUUAAGUAGUUAUCAUGCACUAUACUUCAUACUACGUGUUUUUAUAAGAUUUGCUUGCUUUUUUUUUUUCUGCCACCUUCACUGUUACUAGUACUCUGACAUGAUUUCUGCUGCAGAGUUACAUGCCAUGACUGGUUCCAGCAGAGCCUAAAGGAAGGACUAACUGUCUUCCGUGAUCAGAACAGAAGUUCGAGGUUUGAACCCCCGGACUCAAAUCACCAAAGGUGCCUGAUGCUGAAUGCGGUAGAUGUUGCUGUUGUUAGUCUCAAAGUCGGCAAAAUGUUAAUGCUAUUAAGCUUUUGGUGAGGAUUUAGGUUCCAUGGCUCAUCAAGUGCGACCACAUUCCCACAUUAAGGAUCAAGAUGAUGGAUUGGAUCGGAUAGCAAAUGAAGAUUAAAGUUGACAUUGAAAAUCAUGCAGACGUAAGGGAAACCAGUUGAAUAUGAAAAGAUAGAAGACAUUUAGUUUUGGAUUAUACAUUUUAGUUUUGGAUAUGAUCAUUUGAUUUUAUUUUGAACAUAAUAAUGUAAUUUUCAUAGAUCGUACAUCAAAUACUAUUAUUUUAAUUUGUUAAUUUGUUAGGGAGCGGGUAUGCUCCCUUCCUUUA